ACGAAGAUACUUAAAUAUUAACAUUUGCACUGUGUUUGGACGUAAAAAUACGCUUGUACAUUUUCAAAUAUCAUACAUGCCAUGCAACAUUUGGAUUAUGAGUGCGAGACAAACGAAAGCUGGAAUUAACAAAAGAUGUCGUAUCCAUUGCGGGAUUGGUAGACAUUGGUAAGAUAACAGAUAACAGGGUAGAUAGGAGGCUAGGAACAAAUUGACGGGUACAAGCUGCUCUUGGAUUGAGCUGGGCACUUGACCAGGAAUAAAAGCAGACAAACAGGUGCGAGUUGUUCUUGGAUUCGAACUGGUCACUCGACCGGGGACAUGGAAAAGGUAGACAGGUACGAGUUGUUCUUGAUUCGAACUAGUCACUCGACUGAAAGCAAGGCAAAUAGACAGGUGCGAGCUUGUUCUUGGAUGCGAACUGGUUACUCCACCGGAGACAAAGACAAAUAGACAGGCGCAAGCUGCUCUUGGAUUGAGCUAGCCACUCGAGCGAACAGAAACAGAUAGACAGGUACAAGCUGUUCUUGGACUUGAACUAGCCACUUGACCAAAAUCAUAGACACAUAGACAGGUACAAGCUGUUCUUGGAUUUGAACUGGUAACUCGACCGAUAACAUUGAAAAGUAAACGGGUACAAGUCGUUCUUGGAGGCAAACUGGUAACUCGACCGGAAACAUAAACAAAUAGGUAGGUUCAAACUGCUCUUGGAUUGAGCUAGCCACUUGACCAAACAGAAACAGAUUCACU
rnacentral:lncRNA from 1 species